AGUGGCGACCGGGUGAGUAACACGUGACUAACCUGCUUCGAGUGGGGGAUAACCUCGGGAAACCGGGGCUAAUACCGCAUAAUGCCGAGAGGUUAAAGGAGCAAUUCGCUUGAAGAGGGGGUCGCGGCUGAUUAGCUAGUUGGCGGGGUAACGGCCCACCAAGGCGAUGAUCGGUAGCCGGCCUGAGAGGGCGCACGGCCACACUGGAACUGAAACACGGUCCAGACUCCUACGGGAGGCAGCAGUGGGGAAUUUUGCGCAAUGGGGGAAACCCUGACGCAGCAACGCCGCGUGGAGGAUGAAGUCCCUUGGGACGUAAACUCCUUUCGACCGGGACGAUAAUGACGGUACCGGUGGAAGAAGCCCCGGCUAACUUCGUGCCAGCAGCCGCGGUAAUACGAGGGGGGCGAGCGUUGUUCGGAAUUAUUGGGCGUAAAGGGCGCGUAGGCGGUGCGGUAAGUCACCUGUGAAACCUCCGGGCUUAACUCGGAGCCUGCAGGCGA
rnacentral:rRNA from 1 species